rnacentral:rRNA from 1 species
GUGCAGCAGUCGAAAACCUCCACAAUGCGGGAAACCGUGAUGGGGGAAUCCGAGUGCCCGUUGGCUAAUGCUGGCGGGCUUUUCUCAAGCGUAAAAGGCUUGAGGAAUAAGGACUGGGUAAGACCGGUGCCAGCCGCCGCGGUAACACCGGCGGUCCAACUGGUGAUCAGCAUUACUGGGCCUAAAGCGUCCGUAGCCGGAUGGUUGGAUUCUGAGUGAAAUUUCCCAGCUCAACUGGGAAGCGUGCUUGGAACACCCG